GUGUAGUAUCUUGACUAUCCAUGUCCAAAGGCUAAAAUGAUGAGAGCAAACUAUAGUUGCUAACAAAGUUCUACACUAUCGAACUAUGGGUUUUGGAGGUGCCCUCCCCCCUUUUUAUGCUACUUGAUGAGCAAGCUUCAGCAAGAAGCUAUCGUUGAAUCGGCUUAGGUUUAUGACGAUAUCGUUGAUGAAAUUCUUGUACCUUUUUUGGUGCAUUGGCAAGAUUU
rnacentral:lncRNA from 1 species